rnacentral:rRNA from 1 species
UGGGGAAUAUUGGACAAUGGGCGCAAGCCUGAUCCAGCCAUGCCGCGUGAGUGAUGAAGGCCUUAGGGUUGUAAAGCUCUUUUGGCUGGGACGAUAAUGACGGUACCCGCAGAAUAAGCCCCGGCUAACUUCGUGCCAGCAGCCGCGGUAAUACGAAGGGGGCUAGCGUUGUUCGGAUUUACUGGGCGUAAAGCGCGUGUAGGCGGGUCGUUAAGUUGGGGGUGAAAUCCCGAGGCUCAACCUCGGAACUGCCUUCAAAACUGGCGACCUGGACUCAAGUAGAGGCAAGUGGAAUUGCGAGUGUAGAGGUGAAAUUCGUAGAUAUUCGCAGGAACACCAGUGGCGAAGGCGACUUGCUGGACUUGUAGUGACGCUGAGACGCGAAAGCGUGGGGAGCAAACAGGAUUAGAUACCCAUGUAGUCCCUGAGCGGGCUGGCAAGGCGCAU